rnacentral:lncRNA from 1 species
AGACAUAUUUUGAGGUUUCCCCGUCUCAAAGGGAACAAGAGAAACACAAUAUUCAUAUUAUUGAAUCCCCAGUUUCUUUUUCUUUCCCUUUGAUUCCUUCCUCUCAAUUACCUCUCUCUUUUCUUCCUUUGUUUGGAUGGCCGGCCAAACAAUCAUCGUUUCCGGGUUGAACCCGGCGGCCAUUCUUCAUUCAACAAUAGGCGGCGGAGCUUCUCCUACAGCGGCGGCGGCGGCGGAAAACGGCACCAGAAAAGUCAUCCCUCUCUCAAGAGAUGCCUUACAAGAUUUCAUGUUAUCAAUCAUAACCCAAAAAUUACAAGAUGAGAAACAACCUUUUUACGUGUUAGAUUUGGGUGAGGUUGUUUCUCUUAUGAACCAAUGGAAAUCUGCUCUCCCAAAUAUCCGUCCAUUUUACGCUGUUAAGUGUAACCCUGAACCGUCGUUCCUUUCAAUUUUAUCUGCUAUGGGCUCAAAUUUUGAUUGUGCUAGCCGUGCUGAAAUUGAGUAUGUUUUAUCUCUUGGAAUUUCACCUGACCGUAUUGUUUUCGCAAAUCCAUGCAAACCGGAAUCCGAUAUCGUUUUAGCCCUUGGGAUUUCACCUGACCGUAUUGUUUUUGCAAAUCCAUGCAAACCGGAAUCCGAUAUUAUUUAUGCAGCUAAAGUUGGGGUGAAUUUGACAACCUACGAUUCCGAAGAUGAGGUUUACAAGAUCCGAAAGCAUCAUCCAAAAUCCGAACUCUUGCUCCGAAUCAAGCCCAUGUUCGACGGCAACGCGAGAUGUCCAAUGGGCCCAAAAUACGGCGCGCUUCCAGAAGAAGUCGAACCGCUGCUCCGCGCAGCUCAGGCCGCCCGGCUCACCGUCUCCGGCGUAUCCUUCCACAUUGGAAGUGGAGACGCCGAUUCAAACGCUUAUCUCGGCGCCAUAGGUGCGGUUAAAGAAGUGUUUGAAACAGCUGCUAAACUCGGGAUGUCGAAAAUGACUGUUUUAGACGUCGGAGGCGGGUUUACAUCCGGCCACCAGUUCACAACCGCCACCAUCGCCGUUAAAUCAGCUUUAAAACAACACUUCGAUGACGAACCGGAAUUGGCAAUCAUAGCUGAACCGGGUCGGUUUUUUGCAGAGACGGCGUUUACUUUGGCAACGACGAUUAUAGGGAAAAGAGUGAGGGGUGAAUUGAGGGAGUAUUGGAUUAACGACGGGCUGUACGGUUCGAUGAACUGUGUACUAUACGACCAUGCGACGGUGAAUGCAACGCCGUUAGCUGUUCUGUCGAAUCGUAGUAACGUCACCUGCGGCAGGUCGAAAACGUUUCCGACGACUGUGUUUGGGCCCACUUGUGAUGCUCUUGAUACUGUUUUAAGGGAUUACCAGUUACCGGAGCUGCAGGUUAAUGAUUGGCUGGUUUUUCCUAAUAUGGGUGCUUAUACUAAAGCUGCUGGGUCCAAUUUUAAUGGAUUUAAUACUUCCGCCAUUGUUACUCACCUCGCUUGGCAACGACAAUUAUAGGGAAACGAGUGAGGGGUGAAUUGAGGGAGUAUUGGAUCAACGACGGGCUGUACGGUUCGAUGAACUGUGUACUUUACGACCAUGCGACAGUGAACGCAACGCCGUUAGCUGUUCUGUCGAAUCGUAGUAACGUCACCUGCGGCGGGUCGAAAACGUUUCCCACAACUGUGUUUGGGCCCACUUGUGAUGCUCUUGAUACUGUUUUAAGGGAUUACCAGUUACCGGAGCUGCAGGUUAAUGAUUGGCUGGUUUUUCCUAACAUGGGCGCUUAUACUAAAGCAGCUGGGUCCAAUUUUAAUGGAUUUAAUACUUCCGCCAUUGUUACUCACCUCGCUUAUGCUUAUCCAAGCUGAUGAACCACCUGAUUAGGAAUUACUACCGUGGUUUUGAUGGGUUUUUCCUUUUUUGGGUAUCUUUUUCUUAAUUUUGUUUGUAGUAAUUUAUAUUCCAAAUCAGUUUGUAAUUCUCUUGUAUGCCAUAAGAAUGCAAGGAUUUGCUAAAUGUGAUUUGCUCUAAUAUGGAAGUUUUUAAUAUUAGUUAUUAGAUAAAUCUGUUUGGAUGCACGCUUUUUAUUUAUAGUUUUGUACAUUUACAAAAAAAUUGUUCAUGCUUC